AAUUCUUAACCAACAAGAGGAAGAAGAAGGAUGAUGUGUUCUUGCUAUCAUUUAUGCCACCCUAACAGUGGUUAAGGCAUCAAGCUAAUGACGUUAAAUAAGCGCUUCUUGGGAGGCAACCCAUGAUAGGUAACUCAGUCUUUAAUUUUCUUUUAAUUUCUGCAUUUUAUUAAGUAAUAAAAACCACUGUUGAAUGAAUUUGUCACUACUCUAUCCUUAUCAGUUUGAGUUAAUAUUUUAUGUGUGACUUGAUUUUGAGCAUUUAACUAGAAUGUGCUUGUUAGUUUGUUCUCCAUCUAAGUAGUAACUGUCAACUUACAUUAUUGAUUGCUCUUUGGNNNNNNNNNNNNNNNNNNNNNNNNNNNNNNUUUGAGGAAUUGAUUUCUGUUUGUUUAGCAUGAUUCCUAAUGGCUCUAAUUCUUCUCUGUUAUCCUAACUGUGAGGUCUUGAGCCUAAACACUUGAAUUUUUUUCUUGACUAUGUGAGUUCCACGUCUUUCCUAUUCUCUAGAACUUGCUUGAAUUCUCUUGAUUGAUUGAUUGCGAUGAAUAAUGCACCGAGGCACGUUUUUGUGAGCUUGAGCCUUUGUAGCCUACCCUUGA
rnacentral:lncRNA from 1 species